rnacentral:rRNA from 1 species
AUUGAACGCUGGCGGCAGGCCUAACACAUGCAAGUCGAACGGUAACAGGAAGCAGCUUGCUGCUUUGCUGACGAGUGGCGUACGGGUGAGUAAUGUCUGGGAAACUGCCUGAUGGAGGGGGAUAACUACUGGAAACGGUAUCUAAUACCGCAUAACGUCGCAAGCCCAAAGAGGGGGACCUUCGGGCCUCUUGCCAUCGGAUGUGCCCAGAUGGGAUUAGCUAGUAGGUGGGGUAACGGCUCACCUAGUCGACGAUCCCUAGCUGGUCUGAGAGUAUGACCAGCCACACUGGAACUGAGACACGGUCCAGACUCCUACGGGAGGCAGCAGUGGGGAAUAUUGCACAAUGGGCGCAAGCCUGAUGCAGCCAUGCCGCGUGUAUGAAGAAGGCCUUCGGGUUGUAAAGUACUUUCAGCGGGGAGGAAGGGAGUAAAGUUAAUACCUUUGCUCAUUGACGUUACCCGCAGAAGAAGCACCGGCUAACUCCGUG